UACGAAGGGGGCUAGCGUUGCUCGGAAUUACUGGGCGUAAAGCGCACGUAGGCGGCUUUCUAAGUCGGGGGUGAAAUCCUGGAGCUCAACUCCAGAACUGCCUUCGACUACUGGAGAGCUCGAGUCCGGGAGAGGUGAGUGGAACUGCGAGUGUAGAGGUGAAAUUCGUAGAUAUUCGCAAGAACACCAGUGGCGAAGGCGGCUCACUGGCCCGGUACUGACGCUGAGGUGCGAAAGCGUGGGAGCAAACAGG
rnacentral:rRNA from 1 species